UAUAUAUAUAUAUGUGUGUGUGUGUGUGUAUAUAUAUAUAUACACACACACACACACACACACAUAUAUAUAUAUGUU